rnacentral:rRNA from 1 species
UACGUAGGGUGCGAGCGUUAAUCGGAAUUACUGGGCGUAAAGCGUGCGCAGGCGGUCCUUCAAGUCAGAGGUGAAAGCCCAGAGCUCAACUCUGGAAUGGCCUUUGAGACUAGAGGACUUGGGUACGGGAGAGGUGAGUGGAAUUCCGAGUGUAGAGGUGAAAUUCGUAGAUAUUCGGAAGAACACCAGUGGCGAAGGCGGCUCACUGGCCCGUUACCGACGCUCAGGCGCGACAGCGUGGGGAGCAAACAGG